GACGAACGCUGGCGGCGUGCUUAACACAUGCAAGUCGAACGAAGUGGCGAACGGGUGAGUAACGCGUAAUCAACCUGCCCUUCAGAGGGGGACAACAGUUGGAAACGCCUGCUAAUACCUAAUCCUGUAGGAGGGGAUUUCGUCUGAUUCGCUAGUUGGAGGGGUAACGGCCCACCACGGCGAUGAUCAGUAGCAGGUCGUGAAGUAGGAACGGACACCUUGGGACUGAGACACGGCCCAGACGCCUACGGGAGGCAGCAGUGGGGAAUCUUCCGCAAUGGACGAAAGUCUGACGGAGCAACGCCGCGUGAGUGAUGACGGCCUUCGGGUUGUAAAGCUCUGUUAAUCGGGACGCGGUACCGGAAUAGAAAGCCACGGCUAACUACGUGCCAGCCGCCGCGGUAAUAC
rnacentral:rRNA from 1 species